GUUCGUGUUGAUUGUCAUGUGGGUCCACCUGUUCCCAUCCCGAACACAGAAGUUAAGCACAUGUACGCCGACAAUACUUGGAGGGUGACUUCCCGGGAAGAUAGGUAACGCGAACA
rnacentral:rRNA from 1 species